rnacentral:lncRNA from 1 species
AGUUUGUAUCUGAAGGCCAAAACAGGAUGUAAAAAAGUUUAUAAUCUCAAAGUUCGUAUGUAGAACGUAAGUUGAGAUAUUACUGUAUUUAGAAUAAUGUUUCCCAAACUUUUCUGAUUUUGGACUUUUUUCAUUAUAAAGAUCCAAUAAGCUCCAAAUAACAUUUCCUUAUUAAAAAUUGAAAAAUUAUAUAGUGCCCAUGUUCCAAAUCUUAGAACUCAAAGAAACGAUCUUUUUCUUCAAAAUUUCAAAAUAAAUUGAGCCAUAGAGCAAAAGGAAUGCCUACCGUUUUUCCUGACAUCUGUUGAAAAUAUGGCAUACUUCCACUGGGUGAGUAUAUCUAUAGAUGCAUGCAUCUCUAGAUAUAUAGAUGUGUGAAAGGGAUACAAGAUAUAUCUUGCACAUCUCAGAAGCCUAUUAAUAUGCAUACACUAGGUUGUGAAUAGUUGUGAAAAAUAAACUUAGAAAAAUAAUGAUAGCAGUAAAUACUUCAAAAAUGUUUUUCUUUAUUAAUUAAUCGGAAAUUUGAUCAUCUUUAGUACAAUACAAGAAUGAAGUACAGACAUUAUCUUACAAACAAGAAAUACAAGUUUCUGUUGAUUUUUUUAAGAAAGCAGUGUGAUUUAAAUAAACUUGUACUGAAUACUUUCUCGUUAAACUGGAUUAACCAAUACUCAUUAAAUUAAAACACAGCACUUUCUGCAGUAUGGUAAUAAAGUCCUCGUUUAUUAGGCAAACGUUUUCGAUGUGUUAUUACAUCCUCUUCAGGCUUAACUUAACCGAAACAAACAUAAAAUAGAACAUUUCCAUUCUAAAUGUAGCCAUGACAACUCAAUGUUUGUAGAUUAUAAAUAUUACAAAUAUUCAAAUUCAGUUCUAAAUAUUUAACGGAAAAAACCCAAAAACUUCAAAGUAAAAAAAAACCCUUUAACCAAUAAUAAUAACUAUAAAACUGUGUCUACACCUGAGAACCUCCUAUUUUUACCCAAGUUUCAUUUCCCUUCCUUCCUCACAAGCUCUACCUCUACCAUGUUGCUUCCUAUUGGUAACACUUAAAAACCCUUUAUCAUUUGUUAAUUAUUUUAUCUAGUAGAUACUUCCAAGCCAUGGACAGCUCCCAUGCUAGUCUAUCAUUAACUACCCUCUCCUCUCCCGAUCUUCUUAUUAUUUCCAAAGACUCUACUAUAGUCAGUUGUACGCUCUUCAUUACUGGCUUAACACACAACCCCCUCCCAGUUUAUAGUAAUAUCAUAAGCCUCACAUGCUAAGACUGUGUUAAGACUAGCCUGUAAAAUAUUUUUUGUGCUCAUCAAUAUGCCUCUCUAUCGUUCUUGAGGUGAUUCCAAUAUAUGCUGAUUCCUCCUUCGUGCUAUUGUUUGUUAUGGGUAUUCUAUAUAUCCCUCUUCUUUGUUCAAGCCAGUCUUUUUCAUUUCUCAGAACACUAAAUAAGAAAGAAGUGUUGCCUACCUUGAUAUAUAAAGUUAGGUUGCCAGUAAAAUCUAAGAAACUCCUAAAAAGAAUGAAGCAGGUGUGCUUAAAGGUGGCAAUAUCAGAUGCCAAAAGAGUUUUCUAUAAUAUGAGUUUGAGCAAACAGAUCCAGGGCUGAUUAGAGACAUAGUGCAUCUAAUUUUUAUAACUCAUAUUUUAAGUUUAGGAGUAAGAUUUAUAAGCAGGUAAGAGGGGUCCUGAUAGGGAGUCUGAUAGCUGGGACACUGGCGGAAAUAGUGCUUAGAACCCUAGACAGC